rnacentral:rRNA from 1 species
UACGUAGGGGGCAAGCGUUGUCCGGAUUUAUUGGGCGUAAAGAGCGUGUAGGCGGUUAUGCAGGUCCGCUGUGAAAACUCGAGGCUCAACCUCGAGACGUCGGCGGAAACCAUCUGGCUAGAGUCCGGAAGAGGAGAGUGGAAUUCCUGGUGUAGCGGUGAAAUGCGCAGAUAUCAGGAAGAACACCCGUGGCGAAGGCGGCUCUCUGGGACGGUACUGACGCUGAGACGCGAAAGCGUGGGGAGCGAACAGG